UACAGGGGGUGCAAACGUUGCUCGGAAUUAUUGGGCGUAAAGCGCGCGUAGGCGGCUACUUAAGUCGGAUGUGAAAGCCCCUGGCUCAACUGGGGAAGUGCACCCGAAACUGAGUGGCUUGAGUACUAAAGAGGGUCGCGGAAUUCCCGGUGUAGAGGUGAAAUUCGUAGAUAUCGGGAGGAACACCGGUGGCGAAGGCGGCGACCUGGGUAGAUACUGACGCUGAUGCGCGAAAGCCAGGGGAGCGAACGGG
rnacentral:rRNA from 1 species